rnacentral:lncRNA from 1 species
AGUACCUAAAAUUGUCAAUCUUACUGCAUAAGCAUAGUGCAGUAUUUAGAAAUAGGUAGGUAGAUACAAAAAGAAUCAGCUCAAAGUGAUUUCUCUGAGGAUCAGAGGCUAAAAUGAAGUAGGAAAUAGUGUUGCCAGAAAAAGAGGUCCCAAUCCAGACCUUAAGAGAGAACUCUUGGGUCUAAGCAGGAAGGAAUUCAAGGCGAGUUGCAGAGUACAGUGAGAAGAGAGUUUAUUGAAAGCUACCCAGAUACAGAGUAGGGUGUCCUCAGAAACGAAAUGGAGGAAUGUGCCUUCUUUGUUUUAAACUGUUCUUGUAUAGGAGUCUUAUCUAUGUAAAAACUAUUACGUCUAUGUGGGGGUAGGCUGACAGCGUGACAAAAUUUAGUACUUUGUUUUUAAAAAGUUUUCUGUGGCAUUUUAGUGCAUAAGUACAUCAAAGCAUGACUAUAUCGUAAAAGUAUACAUUGUUAUGUGAUACCGGGACAUCUGGACAUUCUGCCAUCAUAGGAGUUUAUCCUUGCAAGCAUUACUAAACUGCUUCCUUAGCCAAAAACAUGUUAUGACUGUGCAUUGUGACUGGCCAGGAAUGUGCCUUGCUGGUUUUACGAUGGAGUUGAUUUAAAAAUAGUAUUACCGUAGCUCUCCUAUGCUCCUGUUUACUUAACAAUAAUGUGACUAGCCAGAAUCUUAACCUGGGUCAGAUGUCCCAGAAUGAAAGCAUACAUAGCUGGAUGACUCGUUCAGACCUCAGAGCUGGUACAUGUUAGAAAUGUGUUCAUUGUAGAAGCUGAAAGAAAAGUCCCAAUGGUUGAUUCUAUGGGCCCCUUGGUGAGGAACAGCUUUCUCACAGCAUGUGACAUAAUUCUGUGGCACAGCACGAUCUGUCAGUCCUGUCCUCGAAAUCUAAUACAGCUGAGUAUUUUUCCCUCUGAGGACAAUUUACACAUUUUAUUUAUACUUUACUGUUAGUGUAAAAAGGUUGAUUUAAGACAAAGUUGAUAUCCUGUCAUAUUAUUCAUAGCAUGUUUAUCCUAUUGAUGGUUGCGGAAGCAGCACAGAUUCUUUGGCCAUUAUUAGCAGUCUUCACUCUUGAAAUACAACUUUGACAAUAUAUUAAUUAUGCCACUUUGCUAACACUGAUGUUUUGGUUACCUAUUGCCAUUUUACCUAACAACAACCAUUUUAUUUGCUCACAAUUGUGAAAUCUGGGCUAGGCUGAGCUGAGCUGCUUGGUUCUGCUCGUCUUGCCAGUGUGCAUUCCUGUGAUUGCAUUAAGGAACAAGCUGGGCUGUGCUUUUUCUCUCUCCAUGUAGUUUCAGGACUUCUCCCUCUUCACAUAGUUUCUACAUGGCAUUUCCAGCAGAAUUCCUGGAUUCUUCCUGAGUUGCUCAGGGAUCCUAAGAGCUCAAGAGUAGAAACUUCCAGCCCUUCAUGAAAUUUCAGUGCAAACUAUCACUUCUGCCAUAUUCUAUUAAGGAAGAAGAGUGACAGGACCACCCUAGAUUCACAGGAAGGGGACUACACAACGUUAUGAACACCAAGAGGCGGUUCACGGGGAGAUGCCAGUAGAGCCAGUGGUGUUCUGACAAAUUGACAGUUUUCCACUUUCCUAAGAAGAAGAAAUGGCCAAAUCCCAGGGAAUGAACAUAUGGAAGAAGAGCAACUAAAAGCUGUGAAUACACAAUUAAGAAUCAAAAGAGGAUAACCAAAAGGCCCGAUGGCAGUCUGAAACCCAGCGGCUGUAAGGUAGAUAUGGCUGACAAUCAAACCCUACUCAACAUAAAGUGUUGCAGAAUUGCCGCACCAAUUAAAUGCAUAUCCUGGUGACAGUGAAGGACUUAUCUCGAGUAUGCAGUUUUUGAUGUUUAACAAGGUUUGAACUCCUGUUGAAGGCUUUACUACAUUCCUUACAUUUGAAUGG